rnacentral:rRNA from 5 species
AAAUUGAAGAGUUUGAUCAUGGCUCAGAUUGAACGCUGGCGGCAGGCCUAACACAUGCAAGUCGAACGGUAACAGGAAGCAGCUUGCUGCUUUGCUGACGAGUGGCGGACGGGUGAGUAAU